CAAACCCAUUAAUGAAAAGAUAUUAAAACAAUGGAAAUGACCCAGUGAACACUGAAGCUGCGAUGCCGAGAUUAGACAACCUAGGUUUUAGGGACGUGGGUUUGCUUUUACUUAGUGCUGUGAAAAAAAAAAGUGUAGUUAAAGAAGCAGCCAUUGGGUUUAUAGUUAAGUUUAAAAACAUAAUGGAUUCAUUUGAGGAGUCUGCUAAUUUGGGGCCACAAAACGGAAGACACAUCAGGAGAAUGAAUUCACUGCCGUGAGCCAUGUCCUCAGGGGAUAUGAUUCAGCAACUGUGAGGUCCAGCAAGGACAACUGGUAAGAGUCAUGGUCUAGAAUUCAUUCGUGAUGGAAUCCAGUGGUCAGGGGUCACUUGGGGAGGCUCAUCAGAGCUGCAUUUGAGUGUCUGGGGAGUGGCUAUGUGGAAAAAAGCCUGGACAGUGAUACCAUGAUCACCAAUACCACCCGCCAGGACCUCACAGCUGACCUGGAGUGGAAGAAAGAAAUGGGGAGAGGGCGUUAAGAAACAUGACAGAGAAGAUCCUGUUGGUUUCAUCAACAGCCUGGACUAUUCUGCCCGAGGGAGAGCAGUCAGUAACAGGUAUGGGUCACCACCCCUGCCAGCCUGGGAGACGAUCACAAGCGUACGAGUGUAUACAUUACUUUUCUGUUGCGGUGAUGAAACACCACAAACCAAAGGGAACUUAGGAGAAAGUUUAUUUUGCCUUAUGUUUCCAGAAGGAAUCCACAAUGGCCAAGCGGAGACCUGGCAGCAAGGAGCAGGUGUGGCAGCAGGAACAAGAAUUGGGAGCUUGUAUCCUCAACCCAAGCACAGGGCGGGGAAAGCAGACUGGGAACGGUGUGGAUCUUUUCACUCUCAAAGCCUGACUCCAGUGACAUACUUCGUCCCACAAGGCAACGCCUCCUAAACCUCCCCUAGACAGCAUCACCAACUGGUGACCAAGUAGUCAAAUACAUGAGCCUAUGGGGGACAUUCUCAUUCGAACCACCAUGAUGAGUAAGCCCAACACAAGUCAGAGGAAGACCACCCAGCUGAUUCUGCCCAGAUUACCCAUCCACAGAAACAAGGGCUCAGCAAUGUCUGGGAUGGUUUGUUACGCAGCAAAACUAACAGAUACACCUCCUUGAGCUCCAGGGUUUUUGCAAGCGCUGUUCUUUGUGUGGGACACUC
rnacentral:lncRNA from 1 species